GAUGACACUGACGCUCAUGUACGAAAGCGUGGGUAGCAAACAGGAUUAGAUAGCCUGGUAGUCCACGCCCUAAACGAUGUCAACUGGUUGUUUGGGGGAGUGGAAUCCCUUAGUAACGAAGCUAACGCGUGAAGUUGACCGCCUGGGGAGUACGGUCGCAAGAUUAAAACUCAAAGGAAUUGACGGGGACCCGCACAAGCGGUGGAUGAUGUGGAUUAAUUCGAUGCAACGCGAAAAACCUUACCUACCCUUGACAUGUCCAGAAUCCUGCAGAGAUGCGGGAGUGCCCGAAAGGGAAUUGGAACACAGGUGCUGCAUGGCUGUCGUCAGCUCGUGUCGUGAGAUGUUGGGUUAAGUCCCGCAACGAGCGCAACCCUUAUCAUUAGUUGCUACGCAAGGGCACUCUAAUGAGACUGCCGGUGACAAACCGGAGGAAGGUGGGGAUGACGUCAAGUCCUCAUGGCCCUUAUGGGUAGGGCUUCACACGUCAUACAAUGGUCGGUACAGAGGGUUGCCAAGCCGCGAGGUGGAGCCAAUCCCAGAAAGCCGAUCGUAGUCCGGAUUGUUCUCUGCGACUCGAGAGCAUGAAGUCGGAUCGCUAG
rnacentral:rRNA from 1 species